AUCAACUGUUCUCCUGUGUCCCUAUAACUCAAUAACAACCAAUCAUUUUAUCAACUUUUUAGCAUUAAUCAACCAAAUUAACUUUCCGCAUGUUGGAAUAGUAGUUCAUCCAUUCUAAACCUGUAUAAUAUUUUCCCUUAUAAUUAAAUACGUAAAUGCAAGUAUCUACUUCUUAUGCAAAUCAUAAUUCACAGUAAAAAUGUUUAUCAAAUGGAGAAACACUUGUAAGCAAAGUAUGUAAUUUUUUGGAUCAUCAAUCUUUUCUUGUCAUUAAUUGCUCUUAAAUCGUGACUAGAUACAAUUUAGAUUUAUUUCCUUAAAUCGUAUGUUUGUUACAAUAAUUAGUUAUUUCUUUUUUCUAUUCUCACAGCUUUUUCUUGUUUACCUAUUAUAGUAUCCUAUGGUGUUUUUUCAAUUUAUUUCUUUUAUAUAUUUUAUUUUCCAUUCUGCCAUAGCUGUUCGAUGCCAUUUAUAUUUGCUUUUUAGCUUUGUACCAUCAUUGGAGUUCUAACUUCCUCUGUAGAAUACCAAAUUCAAACCCCCCAAUUUUCAUUAUGCAUUUCUUCCUGUCAGAUUAAUAGGGGUCUGAUUUGAUUUCAGAAAAGGUAGUCACACCUAACAACAUAAGUUCUUGAUCAGCCUUUAAAUUUGUCUAGCUGAUUUUCACCUAAAGAUUGUAUGUGUCCCUACAGUUAUAAGGUCCUACACUGUAAAAAAAAAUCUGUAUAUUAACAGUGAAAUUACUGUCAAUUUUAACAGAAAAUGUCCAUACUACAUGUGUUACGGGAGUUUUUCCGUUUAUAUACAUUUUCGAAUUGCAUUAUGGGACUGUGAUUGCGGCUUUUGGUGACCGCGGACGUACCACUCAACAUUUGGUGGCCAUGGACGUAUAACUCAACAUUUUAACAAUUGUUUUCACUGGUAAGUACUUUUAUUUAAACUAAAUGAUUGUAUUAUCCGUUGUUUUAAACGAUACAUUGUUUGAAUUUACCGUGUAAAAUACAACAGUGAAUUUCGUUUAAUAUUGGUAACAAGAACCAAUGUUUUUUUAUGUACAAACUGCACUAUAAGUGAUUAUUUGUAAUACAAAUAAGCCAUUCUGUGCUAUUUACUUGUUUAUGCCAUCUCCUCAUGCUCUCUGUUAAUUUACAGUUUAUUUGUUAGUAUUUCUGACAUCGGCGGGAAGUAACGUCCACUCCAUCGCUGCACUGUGUGUGUGACAGACAUUGCUGUGAACUUCUGCUCCGCUGUGUGUGUAACAGGAUGCUUUAUCAGAUCUACCAAGCACCCCAUGCAUUCUAGUACUAGAGGAUGGAAGGUACAGCAUAUCGGUAGAUGAAAUUACAGUAAACCACAACAUCAGCUGUCCUUUGAUUGCGGUCAGCUACAUGUUUAGCCUCUUUUAUUUGCUAAACAUUAUGUACCCCAAGGGAGCAGCACUUACUCUGGAGUUUAUCCAAAGGAGCCUGCUCGGUAUAAAUCCUGAACGUGGGUCCAAAGCGGAGAAAAAGGGAUCCAAACAGUACAGCAUUCCACCUAAACUCCUUAAAUUUCUUCCAGAAUCCUUGGAAGAUUUAAAGCCAGAAGUAUCGGAGGAAGAAGAUGAAAUGUGGAUUUAACAUCAGAAUUAUCGUUAUACAUGUUCAGUAUUCAUGUUGUUGUGUUGGGUUAUUGCAAAGAAGGUUUUUGCUCCAAGUCUAAUGAAAUCUCUUUCAAAUUUUUGUCCAGUUUUGUCUGUCAUGCUUGAACCAUCACUGUUUGUUUUUUAUAUUUAGGCCACCCUUGUUGUUGUAUACUUUUUAUUUGGAGGCCUUUUUAGUUUAGGACUGGAAUUCUAUGGCAUCUUAAUGUGGC